rnacentral:rRNA from 1 species
UUUAUUUAUUUAUAAUUUUUGUUUUUUUUGUGAUUUAGAAUUUUUAUUUAAGUUAUUUUAUUUUUUAGUUGUUUAGUAUUAUUGAAAAGCUUUAUUUUAUUAUAGUUUAAUUUUAAUGUAAGUGGUUUGAUUUAAUAUAUUAAAAGAAUUUUUAAUUUAUUUUACCUUUUGUAUUAGGGUAAAUUAAAUAUUUAUUUUUUAUUAAUUUUUCUCGAAUUGUAAUGAUUUAUAUUAUAAUGAUUUUUAUUGUUUCAUAAUUAUUUUUAAUUUUAAUAUGGAAGUGAUAUUCUAUACGUUUUACAUGAUAUCUAGUUUCUUAAGAUUAAAUUUAAUUUGUAGAGAUUUUUUAAGCUGUUUUUUUUAUUAUGUUUUAUUAAUUUUAUAUUAUUGUUUAGGGGUUAAGCUCUAGAUUUAAUUAUAAUUUGUUAUUUUUUAUUUUUAUAUAGGUUUGGAAUUAGCCAUUAUUUUGAGUUUGUAUUAUUUUAUUAUUUUUAUUAAUUAUUUUUUAUUAAGUUUAAUUUUUUUAUUAAGAUUUAAAUUAAAAUUUUUUUUAUUUAGUAAUAAUGAUUUAAUUAGUAUACACUUGUUUUGUUUAAUUAAUAUUUUGAUCUAUAUUAUAUUAAGGAAUUCGGCAAUUAUAUUUUCGCUUGUUUAUCAAAAACAUCUCUUAUAGUUAUUAAUUGUGGGUAGGGCCUGCACACUGAAAUUUGAAGAGCCGCGGUAUUUUGACUGUGCAAAGGUAGCAUAAUCAUUAGUAUAUUAAUUGUAUACUGGAAUGAAAGGUUUGACGAGAAAUAUUCUGUCUCUUUAUAAUGUAUAGAAUUUUACUUUUUAGUUAAAAGGCUAGGAUUUGGUUUUUGGACGAUAAGACCCUAUAGAGUUUAAUUUUUUUUAUGUUAUAGUUAUUUGGGUUAAUAUAUAUUUUUAUUUUAUAUUAAAAUUUAAUUGGGGCGAUUUGAAUAAUAAUUAAACUAUUCAUUUAUUAUUCAUUGAUUUAUGUUGUUUUUGAUCUUUUAUUAUGGAUUAUAAGAUAAAAUUACCUUAGGGAUAACAGCGCAAUCAUCUUUGAGAGUACUUAUUGACGGGGUGGAUUGUGACCUCGAUGUUGGAUUAAGGUGUUAAUUAGGUGUAGAUGCUUAAUUUGUUGGUCUGUUCGACCAUUAAAAUCUUACAUGAUCUGAGUUCAGACCGGCGUGAGCCAGGUUGGUUUCUAUCCAAAAUUAUAUUAAAUUUUCUAGUACGAGAGGACCGUUAAUUUUAAUUAUUUUAUUGUUUUUGAUCAAUAUUA